rnacentral:rRNA from 1 species
GUGGGGAAUAUUGGACAAUGGGCGCAAGCCUGAUCCAGCCAUGCCGCGUGUGUGAAGAAGGCCUUUUGGUUGUAAAGCACUUUAAGCGAGGAGGAGGCUCCUUUAGUUAAUACCUAAAGAGAGUGGACGUUACUCGCAGAAUAAGCACCGGCUAACUCUGUGCCAGCAGCCGCGGUAAUACAGAGGGUGCGAGCGUUAAUCGGAUUUACUGGGCGUAAAGCGUGCGUAGGCGGCUUUUUAAGUCGGAUGUGAAAUCCCUGAGCUUAACUUAGGAAUUGCAUUCGAUACUGGAAAGCUAGAGUAUGGGAGAGGAUGGUAGAAUUCCAGGUGUAGCGGUGAAAUGCGUAGAGAUCUGGAGGAAUACCGAUGGCGAAGGCAGCCAUCUGGCCUAAUACUGACGCUGAGGUACGAAAGCAUGGGGAGCAAACAGGAUUAGAAACCCGGGUAGUCC